CCUACGGGAGGCAGCAGUAGGGAAUCUUUCACAAUGGGCGAAAGCCUGAUGGAGCAACGCCGCGUGCAGGAUGAAGGCCUUCGGGUUGUAAACUGCUUUUAUAAGCGAGAAAUAUGAUGGUAACUUAUGAAUAAGGAUCGGCUAACUACGUGCCAGCAGCCGCGGUCAUACGUAGGAUCCGAGCAUUAUCCGGAGUGACUGGGUGUAAAGAGUUGCGUAGGUGGCAUAAUAAGUAGCUAGUGAAAUCUGGUGGCUCAACCAUUCAGACUAUUAGCUAAACUGUUAAGCUCGAGACCGUUAGGGGUAACUGGAAUUGCUAGUGUAGGAGUGAAAUCCGUAGAUAGUAGAAGGAACACCAAUAGCGUAGGCAGGUUGCUGGGACGGUUCUGACACUAAGGCACGAAAGCGUAGGGAGCAAACGGGAUUAGAUACCCCUGUAGUC
rnacentral:rRNA from 1 species